GAUGAACGCUGGCGGCGUGCCUAAUACAUGCAAGUCGAGCGAACAGACGAGGAGCUUGCUCCUCUGACGUUAGCGGCGGACGGGUGAGUAACACGUGGAUAACCUACCUAUAAGACUGGGAUAACUUCGGGAAACCGGAGCUAAUACCGGAUAACAUGUUGAACCGCAUGGUUCAACAGUGAAAGACGGUUUUGCUGUCGCUUAUAGAUGGAUCCGCGCCGCAUUAGCUAGUUGGUAAGGUAACGGCUUACCAAGGCAACGAUGCGUAGCCGACCUGAGAGGGUGAUCGGCCACACUGGAACUGAGACACGGUCCAGACUCCUACGGGAGGCAGCAGUAGGGAAUCUUCCGCAAUGGGCGAAAGCCUGACGGAGCAACGCCGCGUGAGUGAAGAAGGUCUUCGGAUCGUAAAACUCUGUUAUUAGGGAAGAACAAAUGUGUAAGUAACUAUGCACGUCUUGACGGUACCUAAUCAGAAAGCCACGGCUAACUACGUG
rnacentral:rRNA from 1 species